UUUUUUUUGGAUUUGAUUCUGGUCCAGAGUAAACGCUUGAGAUAUGUUGAUACAUGUUAGUUGAACGUAAAUAACUUGGCUUUUGCCGUCUGUAUUUAAGUAGCGAACAGGUGAGUAGUAUGCAAGAAACCUACCUCUUAGUUUGCGCAAAAUCGCAAUUUAAAAGAUUUAAUUCGCUAAAAGAUGGGCUUGCACAAGAUUAGGUAUUUGACUUGUUAAAAACCUUUCAAGCCUAAGAUCUUUAGCCGGCUUUCGUGAGUGACCGGCCACAUAGGAACUGAGAAAAUGUCCUACCUUCUUUUUUGAAGGCAUCAGUACAAAGCAUUGGACAAUGAACGAAAGUUUGAUCCAGUAAUAUCUCGUGAAUGAUGAAGGGUUUUUGCCUGUAAAGUUCUUUUGGUUGAGGGAAAAAAGAUUUACCUCUUCAGAAAAAAUCCUGGCUAACUCUCGUGCCAGCAGCCGCGGUAAUACGAGAAGGAUGAGCGUUACUCGAAAUUAUUGGGCGUAAAGUGCGUAAACAGUGGCUUUUUAAGCUAUAGGCAGAAAAAUCAAGUAUCCAUCUUGUUUCUGUCAUAGUACUGAUAAGCUUGAGUUUGGAAAAAGAUAAUAGAACAUUUUAUGGAGCGAUGAAAUGCUGUGAUAUAAAAGAGAAUACCAAAAGCGAAGGCAAUUAUCUGGUACAAAACUGACACUUAUUCGCGAAGGCUUAAGUAGCAAAAAGGAUUAGGGACCCUUGUAGUUUAAGCUGUCAACGAUGAACACUCGUUUUUGGAUGAUUUAUCCAGAGACUAAGCUAACGCGUUAAGUGUUUCGCCUGGGAACUACGGUCGCAAGACUAAAACUUAAAGAAAUUGGCGGGAGUAAAAACAAGCAGUGGAGCGUGUGGUUUAAUUCGAUGAUACACGCAAAUCUUACCAUUACUUGACCCAAGCAUCUUUCGCAUGAUUCUAUUUAAUCUUGCUCGAACAUCCUUUUGUUUGUAGAUGCGCAGGCGCUGCAUGGUUGUCGUCAGUUCGUGUCGUGAGAUGUUUGGUUAAUUCCCUUAACGAACGCAACCCUCAAAGCAUGUUUGAAACUUUUUGUUUGCUUGUUAAACAGUCGGGGAAACCUGAAUGAAGGAGGGGUAGACGUCUAAAUCUUUAUGGCCUUUAUGUAUCUGGGCUACUCAUGCGCUACAAUGGGUGUUUUGACAAAAAGAUGCAAGAGCUUUCUGCUUUAGCAAACCUUGAAAAGCACUCUUUAGUUCGGAUUGAACUCUGAAACUCGAGUUCAUAAAGUCGGAAUUGCUAGUAAUCGUGAAUUAGCGUAUCACGGUGAAUCGUAAAUUUACUUUGUACAUACCGCCCGUCAAGUACCGAAAAUUUGAGUUGCAAGAAACUCUAUGAAAAGCUUGAUGGCUUAACUUUUUUCUGGCUUGGACCUUUUCGGCCUUCUAGAAUUUUUUCGCCGUUUUGAUUAUUUUGGAGUAAAAGCAACUUUUUUUAUUGGUAUUAAGUCGUAACAAGGUAGCCCUAAGGGAACUUGGGGCUGAGUAAAAAUUUUAUGGGGGCUUUUUUAAUUAAACUUCUAAUUUUCUAGCCCCAC
rnacentral:rRNA from 1 species